rnacentral:rRNA from 1 species
CCAACAGGGAUUGCUCUAGUAACGGCGAGUGAAGCAGCAAUAGCUCAAAUUUGAAAUCUGGCGUCUUCGGCGUCCGAGUUGUAAUUUGUAGAGGAUGCUUCUGAGUAACCACCGACCUAAGUUCCUUGGAACAGGACGUCAUAGAGGGUGAGAAUCCCGUAUGCGGUCGGAAAGGUGCUCUAUACGUAGCUCCUUCGACGAGUCGAGUUGUUUGGGAAUGCAGCUCUAAAUGGGAGGUAAAUUUCUUCUAAAGCUAAAUAUUGGCCAGAGACCGAUAGCGCACAAGUAGAGUGAUCGAAAGAUGAAAAGCACUUUGGAAAGAGAGUUAAAAAGCACGUGAAAUUGUUAAAAGGGAAGGGAUUGCAACCAGACUUGCUCGCGGUGUUCCGCCGGUCUUCUGACCGGUCUACUCGCCGCGUUGCAGGCCAGCAUCGUCUGGUGCCGCUGGAUAAGACUUGAGGAAUGUAGCUCCCUCGGGAGUGUUAUAGCCUCUUGUGAUGCAGCGAGCGCCGGGCGAGGUCCGCGCUUCGGCUAGGAUGCUGGCGUAAUGGUCGUAAUCCGCCC